rnacentral:tRNA from 17 species
GGAUGCGUAGCUCAGCGGAAGAGCGCUUCCUUCACACGGAAGAGGCCACAGGUUCAAUCCCUGUCGCAUCCACCA